UUCUCUUUUUGUAUCUGUCAUGCUGGAUACCUAGAGCAGUAACUGCUUAGUGACCAGCACUCAGGAGGCAGAGGUAGGAGGA
rnacentral:miRNA from 1 species